GACAGAGGGUGCAAGCGUUAAUCGGAAUUACUGGGCGUAAAGCGCUCGUAGGUGGCUGUUCAAGUCUGCUGUCAAAGACCGGGGCGUAACCCCAGAAAGGCAGUGGAAACUGAACGGCUGGAGUGCAGUAUGGGUAGAGGGAAUUCCCAGUGUAGCGGUGAAAUGCGUAGAGAUUGGGAAGAACACCGGUGGCGAAAGCGCUCUGCUGGACUGCAACUGACACUGAGGGACGAAAGCUAGGGGAGCGAAAGGG
rnacentral:rRNA from 1 species